rnacentral:rRNA from 1 species
AAAAUGGCGCCACCACCACCACCACUAUGUCGACUGUGCAAGUCAAGGUGCGCCAGCAGCCUUGCAACUGGCAAGCUGUUCGGCAUCUACUUCCAGCCGAGUUUUCGUCAUGCGGUGAUCGUCCCAUGCAAUGUGAGGUUGAAAUUCAACAAGCUGACAGGAGACACUGUGACAUUUGAGGCUCCUAGGGGGCCGUACACUAUGGAGGUCGAGAAAGGACGCAAUAUGUCGCAGAUUGGAGGAGAUGGAUGGGCCCGU